GUAAGGAAUAUUGGUCAAUGGACGCAAGUCUGAACCAGCCAUGCCGCGUGGAGGAUGAAGGCCCUCUGGGUUGUAAACUUCUUUUAUGGGGGACGAAACCCCGGAUUUUUAUCCGGCCUGACGGUACCCCAGGAAUAAGCACCGGCUAACUCCGUGCCAGCAGCCGCGGUAAUACGGAGGGUGCAAGCGUUAUCCGGAUUCACUGGGUUUAAAGGGUGCGUAGGCGGGUUUGUAAGUCAGUGGUGAAAUCCCGAAGCUUAACUUCGGAACUGCCGUUGAUACUACAGGUCUUGAAUACUCGGGAGGUGAGCGGAAUAUGUCAUGUAGCGGUGAAAUGCUUAGAUAUGACAUAGAACACCGAUUGCGAAGGCAGCUCACUACAGAGUCAUUGACGCUGAGGCACGAAAGCGUGGGGAUCAAACAGG
rnacentral:rRNA from 1 species